GAUGACGGGAAUACCAGCUCAGCUACUUCCGCCUGGGAUCCCUUGCCACGACAGGGAUGGAAAAAGCCCCGAUGACAGCUACGGGUUAGGUUACCCCGCCCAGACCCCUUUGUGAAGAGGUGGUGCUAGGGAAAAGCAGCAGCAAAUUAGACACCGGAGAGAGUCUGCAGCUCACUCGGCUAAGAAGUAGCUCCCCUACCUCUUUGGAAAAAAAUAAGCUGAUUUUCGUUGUACAUGAGCUCGAUGGAAUCUUCCUGCAUGACGUCUCCUUGUCUGCAAAGCUGGUAGGCAGCCGGCGAGACGGCGGGUUCACUCCCCUCCAUACGCCCUGAGGACGACUGCGAGGGAAGCGAGCCGGCAACCACAUCCUGCUCAUCCCUGGGCUUUGUCCCGACAUUAGGAAACCACAAGGGACAUUCGGGCAAACCACAGAAUGCCGGCAGAAAGCCGCAGAGAAACCAUCAGAGGGCGUGUGAGCGGAGCACCUGAGGGGUCCUAGAGAACAGUCAGCAGCAGAACGUGGCAUUCUGUGUCCGUGUUCCUCAUCCCUAGGAACGUGCCUGGGGUCCUUCUGUGAUUUUUAGAUGCAAAAGUCCCAGCGUGCAUCAUACACCUGCUUAUAGGACACGAAUGAAGCCUGGGUUUCUCCUCAGCACGUGGAUGGGGGUGUUUCUCAUCUGAGCUGCUGUCACUGAGAGCAGAGGCUCCCUGUGCUAGAUUAUAACUUGUCUACCACAGGAACCAAGUGGGGUCACUGGCAGACAUGGCCAA